UUGACCUCGGAUCAGGUAGGAUUACCCGCUGAACUUAAGCAUAUCAAUAAGCGGAGGAAAAGAAACCAACAGGGAUUGCCUCAGUAACGGCGAGUGAAGCGGCAACAGCUCAGAUUUGGAAUCUGGUCCCUUGGGGCCCGAGUUGUAAUCUGGAGAGGAUGCUUCUGGCGCGGCGCCGUCCGAGUUCCCUGGAACGGGACGCCGGAGAGGGUGAGAGCCCCGUACGGUCGGACGCCUAGCCUGUGUGAAGCUCCUUCGACGAGUCGAGUAGUUUGGGAAUGCUGCUCAAAAUGGGAGGUAAAUUUCUUCUAAAGCUAAAUACCGGCCAGAGACCGAUAGCGCACAAGUAGAGUGAUCGAAAGAUGAAAAGCACUUUGAAAAGAGGGUCAAACAGUACGUGAAAUUGUUGAAAGGGAAGCGCCCGUGGCCAGACUUGUGCCCGGCAGACCAUCCGGCGCCCCCGCGCCGGUGCACUCUGCCGGGCGCAGGCCAGCAUCGGUUUUCCCAGGGGGAUAAAGGCGGCGGGAACGUGGCUCCCUCGGGAGCGUUAUAGCCCGCCGCGUCAUGCCUCUGGGGGGACCGAGGACCGCGCAUUUAUGCAAGGCU
rnacentral:rRNA from 1 species